UUCGUUUUUGAAAUUCAGUUAAGAACGUUGUCUUUACACGGUAUUUGAACUGCAUAUUGUUAAAAUAAAAUGUGGUCUUGCUAGCAAAGUAAACACGAAAAAAGUGUCGAAUGGUUUUGGAACGUUUCACUCGCAAUAUUGUGUUUUUAGUCUUCUUAACGCAAUAUCGUGGAUCAUUUAAAAACCAAAAUGUACUCAAAAAAUACUACUCUUUUUUUCUGUGUGAUAUUCUGUCUCGUGCAAUGUUAUGAUGCCGAAACCGUGCAGACUUCUGAAUUUUCUACAGAGGAUACAUCAAGCCCAAGUGCAUACAAGUCUCACCCCAAGGAAGAAGAUGCGGAAUUGUCUAUAGAUGAAAUGAUGAAAGCUAUUGAAAAUUUAACAAAAAACCUAACGCCAGAAAAUAUGGAAGAAUUUCAAAAGAUUCUGCAAACUGACGGCAAUGACGGCGAUAACAAUGACGUUAACUUUGAGAAGUUAAACAAAUUACUUAAAAAAUCUUAUGACCCGGUUCAAAGAAAUAAUGCCGGUGAACUAUGAAUAAAUAUUGCAUUGCUUGGCAUAAAUUAAUAUAAUUUAAAAAUAUACCAUUAAAUCUCAGUUUUAUUAUUUUAUAUGUUACGUUAUAAACUAUUUUAAAUAAAUACUUCAUGUUUUGAUUAAAAUGUUACAUUGUACCAUAUAACUAUAUUAUGAUUUCACGUUUAAAUAAUAUAUUGAAUUAUAUCAAGUACAA